rnacentral:rRNA from 1 species
CAGCAGCCGCGGUAAAACGUAGGUGGCGAGCGUUGUCCGGAAUUAUUGGGCGUAAAGGGAGCGCUGGCGGGCGAGUAAAUCUUUCUUAAAAGUGCGGGGCUCAACCCCGUGAGGGGAGAGAAACUACUCAUCUUGAGUGCAGGAGAGGAAAGCGGAAUCCCUAGUGUAGCGGUGAAAUGCGUAGAUAUUAGGAAGAACACCAGUGGCGAAGGCGGCUUUCUGGACUGUAACUGACGCUGAGGCUCGAAAGCCAGGGGAGCGAACGGGAUUAGAGACCCCAGUAGUCCCUGUCUCUUAUACA